rnacentral:rRNA from 1 species
AGUGAACGCUGGCGGUAGGCCUAACACAUGCAAGUCGAACGGCAGCACAGUAAGAGCUUGCUCUUACGGGUGGCGAGUGGCGGACGGGUGAGGAAUACAUCGGAAUCUACUUUUUCGUGGGGGAUAACGUAGGGAAACUUACGCUAAUACCGCAUACGACCUACGGGUGAAAGCAGGGGAUCUUCGGACCUUGCGCGAUUGAAUGAGCCGAUGUCGGAUUAGCUAGUUGGCGGGGUAAAGGCCCACCAAGGCGACGAUCCGUAGCUGGUCUGAGAGGAUGAUCAGCCAGAAUGGAACUGAGACACGGUCCAGACUCCUACGGGAGGCAGCAGUGGGGAAUAUUGGACAAUGGGCGCAAGCCUGAUCCAGCCAUACCGCGUGGGUGAAGAAGGCCUUCGGGUUGUAAAGCCCUUUUGUUGGGAAAGAAAAGAAGCAGGUUAAUACCCCGCUGUUCUGACGGUACCAAAAGAAUAAGCACCGGCUAACUUCGUG